CUUAGGUCAGGCCUGAAUAAGGCUGAUGAGGUGUAGUCCAAGUGUAAGGGGUAUGUGUUUCAGUUUCAGACUUCUAAUCAUAAUCAGUAUUACUACUGUCUACCAUAUGAUUGAAA